UAAUACGGAGGAUGCGAGCGUUAUCCGGAUUUAUUGGGUUUAAAGGGUGCGUAGGCGGCUUUGUAAGUCAGCGGUGAAAUUUUGCAGCUUAACUGUAAAAGCGCCGUUGAUACUGUGAAGCUAGGAUUUGGUUGCUGUGGGCGGAAUGUGUGGUGUAGCGGUGAAAUGCAUAGAGAUCACACAGAAUAUCGAUUGCGAAGGCAGCUCACAAAGCCAAUAUUGACGCUGAGGCACGAAAGUGUGGGGAUCAAACAGG
rnacentral:rRNA from 1 species